AUGUUUGAACUCAGCGCGCAAUUGGUGGGUCACACACAGGAUGUGAGAAAUGUGGUAGCGAUGAACGAGAGUCAAUUGGCCAGUGUCUCACGGGAUGGAAGCGUUAGGGUAUGGGAAAGGGAUGCGGAUGGAUUGUGGAAUGGUCAUAUUGCGUAUAUCUCUGAGAAAUUCGUGAAUAGUUUGACGUGGGAUGCGCAGAAUGGAUUUUUGUUCUUUGGUGGUCAAGACAUGAUAAUAUAUGGUGUGUCUGGGGUGCAUAGUAUGGACCAGGAGCCCGUGUAUGCAUUUGUAGGGCAUGAAGGUAAUGUUUGCUCACUUUCCGGAGGAUUUGACAUGUUGGUGAGCUGCUCUUGGGAUAAGACAGCGCGGAUAUGGCGUGAAGGGAAGGAAGACAAGGUUCUUAGGGGACACCUAGCAGCGGUUUGGGAUGCGAAGGUUUUGAAGGACGGCAGGGUGCUUACUGCGUCAGCAGACAAGAGUGUUAAGUUAUGGAGUGCUGAUGGACAUGUCCUGAAAAGUUUCGAUAAGUUACACUCCGAUGUGGUAAGGUGCUUGUGUGUUCUUGAAGAUGGCAACCAUUUUGUGAGUGGUUCGAACGACGGAACGUUGAAAUUGAGCAACCUUGACGGUACUGUGUUGCAUGAAUUUGUGGGCCACGAGAGUUUUGUUUAUGGUGUAAAACAGCUCCCAUCUGGUGAGAUUGUGUCCUGUGGUGAAGACAGGACUGUGCGUAUUUGGAACUUGGACGGAACCCCGAAACAGGUAAUCACGUUACCUGCGGUAUCUAUCUGGACAGUUGAUGUGUUCUCCAACGGUGACAUUGCAGUUGGUAGUAGUGAUAAAUUUAUUCGGGUGUUUACGGAGAGUGAGGAGAGACGUGCCUCUGAACAAGAUAUCGAAGAGUUACAUAAAAUGGUGGAACAUUCGUCGGUAAAUUCACAGACCAUGGGAUUCGACGAGUCCAAGCUUAAACCAUACUCAGACUUACAAAAUGCUGGUCAAAAGGAGGGUCAAAUAAUAGUGGUGAAGAAUCCCACGGGUGUCAUUGAAGCUCACCAGUGGUCCAACGGGAAAUGGGCUAAAGUCGGUGAUGUAGUUUCUGCGGCUGGUAACGACAAUAAGGUUGAAUAUGAGGGUGCGAAGUACGAUUAUGUGUUUGAUGUUGACGUCGAAGAAGGGAAACCCCCAUUAAAAUUACCUGUGAAUGCAAAUGAUAAUCCGUAUGAUGUUGCUGAAAAAUUCAUUCUAAGGUAUGAGCUUCCUCAAAGCUACCGUGAUCAAAUCGUCCAGUUUAUCGUCACAAACACGAAUUCUGCCUCUUUCGACCAAUCACAAGCAGCGCCAACAGGAGUACAGGAUACGACUGUUGGUUCUGGUGCUGUUGCUGGCUCUGGCCCUCGCCAAGACAUCAAUUACAGAAUACUACCAGUUAAACAAUAUUUGAAACUAACGUCCUUCGAUCCAGAUAGUCUAUUUAACGGUAUCGUCAAAUUAAACGAAAAGGAGAAGACUUUCGAUGAUGACGCCCUAGGGGCAAUUGGUACCGCAUUACAUGAUAUCGAUAACAACGUAGAAUUGCUCUAUGCGCAUGCAUCUAUCAUUAAAAAUCAAUGGAAUGCUAGUCACAAAACCCCAGCAUUUGAUAUCGUACGGAUCCUAGCACCAAAAUUACCCUCGAGCGAAGACUUGAGCGACUUUAUAGAGGAAGGUCUCUCUGAAGAAAAUCCAAUAUCUACAAUGCUAACCACAAGAAUGUUAGCUAACUCCUUCUCGAAUGAAAUAUGGGGUAAAGAGCUCAUGGGGAAACCAGCGGUCUAUGAUUCUAUUUUCCAACUUCUAGGAAGCGAUUACCAAAACUGCAAACCACAACAUAGGAAUAAUUUGGCAGUAGCAAUUGCAACUCUAGUCUUCAACUACUCUGUAUACAUCACAGAAACAAAUAACGUCAACGUACUCCCAAUCGUCGCUGAUGCUUUGAACACCAAGUACGGUACAUCUCCAAUGUUCCUAAACAGUGAAGAAGCUACCUACAGACUUCUCGUUGCCUAUGGGAACCUAAGCACUGUUGAACCAACUUUGCAUCAAUAUGCAAAAUCAAUCGCUUGGAUCAAGAGAGCAAAGGACAAAUAUGGUUACAUCAAACGUUUCGAAGAUAUACUAGAAGAUUUGUACAGAUGA
rnacentral:tRNA from 1 species